rnacentral:rRNA from 1 species
AGAGUUUGAUCCUGGCUCAGAUUGAACGCUGGCGGCAGGCCUAACACAUGCAAGUCGAGCGGCAGCGGGAAAGUAGCUUGCUACUUUUGCCGGCGAGCGGCGGACGGGUGAGUAAUGCCUGGGGAUCUGCCCAGUCGAGGGGGAUAACUACUGGAAACGGUAGCUAAUACCGCAUACGCCCUACGGGGGAAAGCAGGGGACCUUCGGGCCUUGCGCGAUUGGAUGAACCCAGGUGGGAUUAGCUAGUUGGUGAGGUAAUGGCUCACCAAGGCGACGAUCCCUAGCUGGUCUGAGAGGAUGAUCAGCCACACUGGAACUGAGACACGGUCCAGACUCCUACGGGAGGCAGCAGUGGGGAAUAUUGCACAAUGGGGGAAACCCUGAUGCAGCCAUGCCGCGUGUGUGAAGAAGGCCUUCGGGUUGUAAAGCACUUUCAGCGAGGAGGAAAGGUUGGUAGCUAAUAACUGCCAGCUGUGACGUUACUCGCAGAAGAAGCACCGGCUAACUCCGUGCCAGCAGCCGCGGUAAUAC